rnacentral:lncRNA from 1 species
GACCUAUCAUGGAGGAGCAGGGAUGAUGAUGUAGCUGACCUAUCAUGGAGGAGCAGGGAUGAUGAUGUAGCUGACCUAUCAUGGAGGAGCAGGAUGAUGAUGUAGCUGACCUAUCAUGGAGGAGCAGGAUGAUGUAGCUGACCUAUCAUGGAGGAGCAGGGGUGAUGAUGUAGCUGACCUAUCAUGGAGGAGCAGGAUGAUGUAGCUGACCUAUCAUGGAGGAGCAGGAGUGAUGAUGUAGCUGACCUAUCAUGGAGGAGCAGGGGUGAUUAUGUAGCUGACCUAUCAUGGAGGAGCAGGGCGAUGAUGUAGCUGACCUAUAAUGGAGGUGCAGGGGUGAUGAUGUAGCUGACCUAUCAUGGAGGAGCAGAAUGAUGUAGCUUACCUAUCAUGGAGGAGCAGGGAGAUGAUGUAGCUGACCUAUAAUGGAGGAGCAGGGGUGAUGAUGUAGCUGACCUAUCAUGGAGGAGCAGGGGUGAUGAUGUAGCUGACCUAUCAUGGAGGAGCAGGGGUGAUGAUGUAG